UACAGAGAGUGCAAGCGUUAAUCGGAAUUACUGGGCGUAAAGCGCACGUAGGUGGAAUCUUAAGUCAGAUGUGAAAUCCCCGAGCUUAACUUGGGAAUUGCAUUUGAUACUGGGUUUCUAGAAUAUGGUAGAGGGAAGUGGAAUUUCCGGUGUAGCGGUGAAAUGCGUAGAUAUCGGAAAGAACACCAGUGGCGAAGGCGGCUCUCUGGGACGGUACUGACGCUGAGACGCGAAAGCGUGGGGAGCGAACAGG
rnacentral:rRNA from 1 species